rnacentral:tRNA from 3 species
GGGCCAGUAGCUCAUCUGGUAGAGCGCAGUCUUCGCAUGACUGAGGUAAGGAGUUCGAGUCUCCUCUGGUCCACCA